ensembl:lncRNA
AAAGGGAAAAGGGGAAAAGGGGAAAAGGGGAAAAGGGGAAAAGGGGAAAAGGGGAAAAGGGGAAAAGGGGAAAAGGGGAAAAGGGGAAAAGGGGAAAAGGGGAAAAGGGGAAAAGGGGAAAAGGGGAAAAGGGGAGGUGCAGCCAAAGUGGGCUUCUGAGUGCUUGCCUCCCCCAAAGCCCUAUUCCUUGCAUCUUUCAGCUCCUGCAUUUCACACAUCAUCUCCUCAGUCCCAGAGCAAUCAGGGGGACCCAUCCCACACCCCUAGUACCUACAUGCCCUGUCAAGCUACAACUGGGUGCAGAUAAUUUCAAAACAAACCUCAUGAAGUGUCACCUCAUGAAGCCCACCCAGUGAAUUUGUUCAGCAGCAGCUCCUCUCUUAAUGCACAUUGAACUCUGCAUCAGCUAGAGCAGAAGCCAGGAACGCUGGUCCUUGUGUGCCAUAACCACUGGCACUUUGUAAUCUGAAUUAGAAGCAGGUUUUCCCUCUCCUUUUUCUCUCUCUUUUGUUAUUUUCUCUCCCUCUCUAUUUUAAAAUUUCCCUUUGCUGAUUUUCUGAACUCAAAUCAAUAUCCUUGGUCUUGCUAUUUGCACAAUAGCCACCAUUGAUACCAAGCAGACCUGUCCACAAAACUGAAAAAGUUGGUUUAAGUCUUAAGGUUUGUCCUGCUUCCACUGUUGGAGCUGAGAUGACUGGAAUGAAUUCCCCUCGGAGAGCCAAACGAAAGCUAAUCUCCCUGCUGAUGCAGUUGUCCAUCGAGAGGGCCCUUUCCCAUGGUAAUGUACGGGAGGCAGAGACUGCCUUCUUUGUGCUGGCCACUACAGGCCUGUGGAACAACUCUGAGCCACCAAGCAAAGUCCCUGGUCCCAGCAGAAAUAUCUGACACUGAUGUUCUGCCUUCCAUCACUGGAGGGCUGGGGGUCCCUCUGCCAGCUGGUUGUGGGCUCUCCCAUCCUUCUCCUUUCCAUGCCCUCGCUGCUGUUACCCAUUAGCUUCCCAGCAGGAUGUCUUCUGGCACUGGCCCAUCUUCUGUUUCAUCUCACACAACUGGAUGUGCUUGUUUCUGUUCCCCUCCCCAUAUCGUUCUCAUUUACCAUCUGUUUACCCCAGCCUUUCACACCCACACCCUUGGACCUGUCUCUCUUUUUCCAUUCCUGGCCACUGCGCUCUUUCUAAUCAGCCCAUCUCAUACUUUUCCCCUUUCACUUGCUUCACAUCCCUCUGUUCUUCAUUUGGCUCAUCAACAGCAUCUCCCUUUACUCUUAGCCCAUUUGGCAGCAUCCAUUAUCUUGCUAUUAAUGUAAGGCUUGAGGGCCAGCUCCAGCUCUUGUCCAUUGUGCUGCAGGCCAGGGGACCCUGAGCCUGUAUCCACUCCAUGGUCCUGGACUAACUGCCCUCAAGCAAGCAUCACCCACUGCACAUCACUGAAAGGAUUUCACAGAAAAUGUUCUCGAGUGUUUAGGAAGGGUCUUUCUUCCUCUUCCACUGUGUAGAUGUGUUAGUGAAUCUCUUCUGCACUGCAGGGAGCCCAAAAAAGUCCAGACACAGACUUAAACAUCGAUCAGUGCUCACACACUCACCUCCCACAACAAGGUGCAGGUGAAGUGAAAAUCGUGAGCAGUUUCAUCCCAUGUCUGCAAACACAAGCAGAACUGCUCAGCAAUAAGCCCACAGACAGUGCAGACUCCGGGGGAUGUUGGCCCUGCUGAGUGCUGCAGGAUUUGCUUUAAUGUUUGGAGAUCUUAUCUGCAGAACUUAAUUUUCUGUUCUCAGUGGAGAAUUCAAACCCCCUCUACCCUAAAUUAACAAAUGAUAAAAACACUACAGUUAUGACCCACGGUACAUAUUUUAAGAUGUGCUGUUUAACAUCUUCCUCCCAGAUAAUUCAGAAAUUAUGCAGUGAAGCAAUUGAUGGGUGAGGGCUGUUAUUAACCCACAACUGCACGUUCCCCUCCUGGUGGUAACACACGCACUCACUUGCUUGAAGUAGGAGGACCCUUGCUAUGCAGUGCAGUGCGUGUGAGUGGCCUCUAUCAUAGUGUCACAGUUUGCUGUCCAGCUGAACCUGUCAGUAGAGUUCAGAUGUCUGAGUAACACGUUUCGAAAGCCAAAGCUGUCGGUGGCCACGAGCUGCAGAUGGGCACUCCGCUGUCAGGACAGCCUCUUGUUUGGGCCAUAGCUCUCCAUAGCUCUCGUGUUUAAGUCAGCAGAAGCCUCCGGUGCGCACCUACAGGUAGAAACAAAUCACCCACUGUGAAACAACGCAGACAGCUCUGCCCCUCUGAAGGACACCAACUUAGGAACACAGAGCAACACUUCUCCUAGGCAUGAUGGAUCCAUGUGAACCACCUAUCCUUGAACUUCAAUCCAUGAAAUCUCCACUUUUUAUUUAACUUGGGCUGCUUGUUUUGCCAACUGACUGUAAUUUCAUUUUUGCUUAUUUUCCUUCUUCAACUGACCCGGUAAUUUGACAGUGCUGAUAUAUGGCAAUGGCUGGCAGUAUGUGUGGCAGGACCUGUUCCUUAGGAGAUGCUGAAGCUGUAGACUUCUGCUGUUUUGCUCACUGACAAGGUGCAAUGAUCCAAGUAUGGCCAUAACUUCUGAGAUGUAGGAGAAGUCCUUAGCUUUCCCAUGGGCUUGGGAUAAAUACUUUUUGUUGUCCUCCUACAAGGUGGCAGAAUCAUAGAAUCAUGGAAUGGGUUGGGUUGGAAGGGACCUUUAAGAUCAUUUAGUUCCAACCCCCCUGCUGACUGUAUGAGAUAUCAGAGUUGACAUGGGUGUUAAUAAUAUCAAGAUAUUAGAAUUAGAGUUGAACGAUGGAGGGGAAAAAAAUGAAAACAACAUCAAAAUCUCUGUUUAUAAAAAAAGAUUGUGUAUACUCGGUAUACAUUUGUUGGUAGAUUUCAAGUUGCAGAGUGGCACAGCCACAACUGAACAUAAAUCCAUAUUUGUAUGAGCAAGAUUGUCUUAACUGAACAGUACCGAUAGAGAAAGGCAAUGCGGAGCAGUCUUCCAGCUUCUAAGAGUUAAAUCUGAUCAAGCGUUGGAGUACCAUCAAAAACUCUGGUACUGGAAAAUCAAAUUAAUUAAUGGUUUGAAGUGAGGUGUCACUGCAUAAUAGUUGCUAUAUGUACAUGAAAAGUAUUUUCACCAUACACCUGUAUUCAAAACUUUAUUGUAGGUAAGGAUGUUUGAAAGGUUGCCGUUAUUGGUAAUAAAGUCUGUUACUGUCAUUGCAGAUUUUUUUAACUCAUGCUUUGAUUAAGAGAUGUUCCUCAGUAUUAUCAGAGCACUGAACAUCCAUUGACUGGCUCACAGACUAAAAAAACAUGCAAAAAAAUAGUAUGUAAAUUUGGCUCUUGUUUCCUUGGACCAGCUGUGGAUCUUUUGGAAGGGCCUCAGUGACUUCGAAGCUAUGUCACAUAGUGGUCUGGGUCUCAGAGAGCAAAGAGGAUGCAGAAGCAAUUCCAGGGAAACACUGCCUGAGAAAAUCCAGCAGUGGAACAAAACCAAGAAGCUGGGUCACAGAGAUAACCAGAUGGCUUGGGCACCUCUUCUGUGAACUGAGGGAGUUGGGGUUAUUUAGGCUUGAGAAGUGAAGGCUCUGCAGCAACCUCAUUGCGGAUAUUCCAAUAUCUAAAAGGAGCCUACAGGAAAGAUGAAGAAGGACUCCAUUUGAAAGUGUCGUGACAGGACAAGAGGUAACAGUUUAAAAGUUGAGAAGGGGUAGGUAUAGGUAUAAGGAAGGAAUUCUUUACUCAAAGGGUGAUGAGGGAAUAGAAUGCUGAGGUGUUCAAGGCCAUGCUGGGGAGCUGGGCAGCUUGAUCUAGUGGGUGGUGUCCCUGCCCAUGGAAAGGGAAAGUAGAACUGGGUGGUUUUUAAUGUCUCUUCCAGCCCAAACUAUUCAGUGAUUCUAUGACAACUUCAUUGGAAACUUCUGCUUGUGGAGGACAAUAGAGCAACACCUAAAUGGUGUGGAUAAAAUGAGGCAGUGAUGAGCCGAAAAACAUCAGCAUAGUGAUCAUGUCCAGUGGGUAGAGCUGCACUCGGAGCUGGAGAAGCUUCCUUCCAGCAGUCAGGAUGCUCAAACAUGCAAGAGGUCUGUAGCCUUGUCUGAAGGAAUGAAACCUGUGAGAAUCACAUCCCCUGGAGAGGGUCAGAGAAACAUAUGCAGAGAACACAAGUUGCUUCACAGAACAGUAUGGAGAGUAAGCAAGAAGUAAAUGCAGCAGAUAUGAAAACCACUACCCAGAAUAUGAGCAGAAGAUGAAAAUUACAGCAGGCAGUCCAAGGUGGAAUUAAGAAGGCUGCAUUUCUAUAUGCCAGCAUUGCUGGGUUUCUCCCUGGUGAGUCCGAGCAAAUAUUUGACCAGAAAUCACAGAAUCAUAGAACCAUUCAGGUUGGAAAAGACCUCAGAGAUCAUCGAGUCCAACCACAACCUAACUCUACUACCCUAACUCUACAAACUUCUGCUAAGUCAUGUCCCUGAGCACCACAUCCAAAUGGUUUUUAGACACAUCCAGGAAUGGUGACUCAACCACCUCCCUGGGGAGCCUAUUCCAGUGCUUAACAACCCUUUCUGUAAAGAAGUGUUUCCUGAUAUCCAACCUAAACUUACCCUGGCACAACUUGAGGUCAUUUCCCCUCGUCCUGUCACCUGUCACCAGUGAGAAGAGACCAACCCCGCUCUCGCUGUAAGCACCCUUCAGAUACUGGAAGAGAGCAAUAAGGUCUCCACUCAGCCUCCUCUUCCCCAGGCUGAACAGCCCCAGUUCCUUUCAGCCUCUCCUCAUGGGGCAUAUUCUCCAAGCCCUUCACCAGCCUUGUUACCCUUCUUUGGACCUGCUCCAGCACCUCAAUGUCCUUUCUGUAUGGAGAUGCCCAAAACUGAACACAGUACUCGAGGUGAGGCCUCACCAAUGCCGAGUACAGAGGCAGGAUGACUUCUCUAGUCCUGCUCACCACACCAUUCCUGAUACAAGCCAUCACUUGCAAGUGGAUGUUUUUUAAUGGUAUUAAAUAUCAGAAGAUUGAUAUUGCUUAAUAAGAUGAAUGGCAGCAUUUUCAAAUAUGUUGGGCCUUUUUAUUAAGUGCUUUACAAGCUAUCAGAGGCCUGGUAUUUUUGUGGCAGCUUACUGAAAGGGACCAGGAACGUGGUGUGUGUCCCCUGAGUGCUCGAUAUAGUGAUUUAUCAUCUCUCUAGAAGGAAUGGUGUGCUAACAUUGGAGGAACUGAUGUACUGAGAUAGUGCAGAUGACUUCUUGCUCAUGGAGUUAGACCAACGUCAUUGAACCAAGGGUGCAUGUGUCCUCUCAUUUCACCUGAUUUCUGGUUGACAGAGUCAAGAUGAGGAAAUUGUAUUUAAUAAACAAUCUACAGCAUCAAAUUUCCAAAUCUCUAUGAGGGAUAGAAAGGCGAAUCACAGAAUGGAUGAUCCCAAAUUCUUCGUGUUUCUACAGAAGUCACCAGAUGAGAAGUGACCCUAGGCUGUGACAAGUUAAUUUAAAAAUUAGGGCAAGUUUGUACUAAGAAAGUUUGGGUGCAUACAGCAUCUGUUAUCAGUCUGUUCUGAAAGCAGAAAUCAUGAUGUCGGUGAAGUACAUUAAUGAGCUCUUCACUCUAAAACCAGCAAAUCCAGCUAGUAAAACCAGAGACAAGAAUAGAGGGAAGCCUUUCAGACAGAUAAACCGUUUUCAAGGAAAAAAGAAAGUACAAUCUUGGAAAGCAUUCAGAGCUCCAGGCUUUGUGGAGUGCUGUGUUAUUGUGCCAGCUCUUCAGGAGAAGUCUGGCCUGGGAUGUUCCCACCCACUGCCCAAUGAGUCACUGGGGUGAUCUGCUGGGAUGACUGAGCCAUGCAUCAUCAGCCAGAUACUCCACUUCUUACAAUCUGCAUCCAUGGGCUCAGCAUGGAGAAAGAGAUGUCGCUCAAUGACAAACUGGAUAAUCACAGAAUCAUAGAAUGUCUUGGAGUGGAAGGGCACGAUUGCCACCUAAUAGAUAAGGUGCUUGUCCUUCUCCUAUAGCUUGUCUUAAUAGCAUACCAUUACUGUUAUUUAAAGUACCAGCUAGGUACUAAAGGAAGACUGGACAAACCAUUCACUGACUUGGAGGGAACAUCUGAUGCAUCGUUUAUGAACUUCACUGCUUAGUGUGCUUUGACGCAGAUGGGAUUCACUCAUACUGAUGCACAUCUUUGGUUCACCAUGUUAUGUUUAUUGCUCUGUUCAUACUGACUCAGCGCUGCAUCAAUCUCUCAAUACCAGAAGACUGCUAGAUGUCCUUGUUUUUCUAUCGUUUAUUGUUAUCAUCACACAAUGUUCUUGGCCUUUUGCCAAUCACACCUGGUUCUGAGUGGACCAUUACAUGGAUCUUGUAUAUCUUUCCGGCCUGGGGGAAGGGGAGAAUCACAUUCUAUCUGAAUAGCCUCACUGCAACACCUAUGUCUACAUAAGUACAUGGCAGAAAGAAGAGAACAGAUGGAGGCCUCUUCAGGGGAACCUUCUGUGCUAUGAGAGAAGAAAGGGCUCGUACAUGAGAACCAUAAUGGACAGAAUUACAUAUCUGCCCAUAAUUAGAGUUCCUGACCCUAACAUUACGAGUGGGUCUUACUUUCUUCUCUGGGGUCAUUCCUUAUGAGAAUGAAGUGACCCUACACUCACAACCACAGCUUUGACCCAAACUAAAAAUAUGCAUCCCACAGGAUUCAUGUUCUACACCCUGAAGCUGGCCUCGAGGAAGAGGUAAUCCUCAAAGCCCAAGCAGAUGUCCAACAUAACUAUAACAGCAUUAGGAUGGCUUACUUACAAAAAGGAAUUCUCAAAAAACUUUUGUUCUAAGGAUCUCGUGGGAUGCUACUGAAUUCUUCACAAGCAAGAUCAUCCUUUACUACCAACCCACACCCAUUUUGUGGACACGCCAAAUGAUUUCUGGGAAGAACAGCCUAUGCUUCGUAGUGUUUCUUUUUCAGAAGCACCAAAUCCUCCUCUUUUGAUUACUCCUCUCAAGCACCCCCCAGUCCAUCUACUCACUUAAUAUUCCCACAGUCCCUUAUUGCAUGACUUUUGCCCUUACCAGCUGCUCAUAAUAUUGCCUCUGGAAAUAAAAUGUGAACUCCAAAGUGUUUCUUUCCUGUACUAUAACAGAGCGUUCUCUUUCCCUUUAAGAUGGCUACUGUUCCGUUCUCUCCUCCAGCUGAUGGCAUCUCAGAGGUUAUAAGCAGGAAACUCAGAGCAAAGGCUAUUUCAGUGCAGUGGGUGACACAAAGAGUGAUCUUGGCACAGAGAGUGCAUGUCUUUACAUCCCAGCAACACCCUGAAUCUCUAUAGAACUGCAGCCCAAAUACCUUGAGCCUCAGUAGAGCCUUUCCAUAAAUCAAGACAUUUCAAAAUGCAGACAUGUGAGUAACAAGAAAAAUGAAAUUGUAGAAACAGAAUGAUUUUGGCACGAACCACAGAAGGCAAGAAAGUCAUUCCAGGGCUGGUGAAAAGUGAUAUCAAUACUGGCCAUUUAUGGUGGAAUAUUUUUAGAGAGCAUAGAAUAACAUCACACAGCUGACACACUCAACACCUUUGCUGGACGUUGGUAAAACCAGAAAUAACAUAUUUCAAAGAAAAGGCAGACGUUUGUAUUCAAAUGGCAGUAGCUUAAUGGUCACCCAUAUGGAUGUCUUUAGGAUUCACAAAACUCAUAGUUGGAACUGAGAAAUCAUGUUUAACAUGCAGUAUCAUGAGCUGGAAACCUCCAGUUUCUCUUCCUUGGGUUUGCUUACUGGUAUCAUACUCAUUUGAUGUGGGCUUACCAUUACAGAUGUUUCUUCAGCUUCCAGGACGGCUGCCUUUGCAAAACAUUAAUUACCCCAAGGGAAGCCUUCUGCCAAAUCUAAGUCUGUCCUUCCUUGUUCUUAUUCCUCUUUCCAUAUGUUUCUUUCUAGGGCUGUUGUUAAUUUUUUCUUUUCUUAACAAUAACAUCACCUCUCCGUUUUGGUUUGGGAAGCACAUUGGGCAAAGCGGAGACCUCACACCAGCUUUCUGCAAGUCUCUGCACUGUAAUCCCUGGCCAAUGUUGUAAUAAGAUACAGAGUGGUUGCAACCUGUUCAAGAAACGACCACCAACAUCAGUGCCAUUAAUGUGGCAUCAUUUGGG